CUCGGUAAGUGCCAUUCUGUACGGGGUAAUAGAAAUGGGAGUCGUACCUGGCACCAAUUCAAUACCGAACUCUAUCUCCCUUUCAGCAGGUAAUCCAGGUAAUUCCUCCGGAAACUCAUCUGGUUACUCACAAACUAUCGGCACAGACUCAAUCUUCAUUUCAGUUUCCUUAGUGUUCAGUACAAAUGCAAGGUAGGUUUCAUAUCCUUUCCUCAUAUAUCUUUGGGCAACCAUUGCCGUUAUUACAACCGGUG
rnacentral:lncRNA from 1 species